rnacentral:miRNA from 5 species
UGCAGUUGCUGCCUCAAGCUU